GGUGCAAGGAUUUCACUCGACUGCUCCGAGUACGACAAUGACUACUACCACUACAACAGAAUCUCCCAGUACAACUGCCUCUUAUACAAGAAUCUGAUACAGGUCUCAGGAGUCCUGUCCAUCUUAAGCCUGUUGCAGUUGAUCAUCUCAGCGGUCAUCAUUGGUUACACCUGCUAUGCCGCGUGUAACUGCAGGGAAUAGAUGCAGAACAUCAAAGGAGAAGCGAGCACCAUGAUUCCUCCUCAUCCUCCAGCGUACAGCACUGUGGGUUCCAGUGUUUAAGGACUCAAGGAAUCUCAAGGAUAAGAUAGGAUAAAGAAAGUGUUACAGUAGACUCAGAAAACUGCUUAAAUCAUGAUUCAGUUU